UGCCAGCAGCCGCGGUAAUACGGAGGGUGCAAGCGUUAAUCGGAAUUACUGGGCGUAAAGCGCAUGUAGGCGGUUUGAUAAGUCGGAUGUGAAAGCCCCGGGCUUAACCUGGGAAUUGCAUUCGAAACUGUCGAGCUAGAGUGUGGAAGAGGGGAGUGGAAUUCCAGGUGUAGCGGUGAAAUGCGUAGAUAUCUGGAGGAACAUCAGUGGCGAAGGCGACUUCCUGGUCCAACACUGACGCUGAGGUGCGAAAGCGUAGGGAGCAAACAGGAUUAGAUACCCUGGUAGUCCACGCCGUAAACGAUGUCGACUUGGAGGUUGUGCCCUUGAGGCGUGGCUUCCGGAGCUAACGCGUUAAGUCGACCGCCUGGGGAGUACGGCCGCAAGGUAAAACUCAAAGAAUGACGG
rnacentral:rRNA from 1 species